rnacentral:lncRNA from 1 species
GCUGAGGUUUUAAUGGGUCUAGGGUUAGUUGGUAUAGUGCUGAGGUUUUAAUGGGUCUAGGGUUAGUUGGUAUAGUGCUGAGGUUUUAAUGGGUGUAGGGUUAGUUGAUAUAGUGGUGAUGUUUUAAUGGGUGUAGGGUUAGUUAGUUGGUAUAGUGGUGAAGUUUUAAUGGGUGUAGGGUUAGUUGGUAUAGUGCUGAGGUUUUAAUGGGUGUAGGGUUAGUUGGUAUAGUGCUGAGGUUUUAAUGGGUGUAGGGUUAGUUGAUAUAGUGGUGAUGUUUUAAUGGGUGUAGGGUUAGUUAGUUGGUAUAGUGGUGAGGUUUUAAUGGGUGCAGGGUUAGUUGGUAUAGUGGUGAGGUUUUAAUGGGUGUAGGGUUAGUUGGUAUAGUGCUGAGGUUUUAAUGGGUGUAGGGUUAGUUGGUAUAGUGGUGGGGUUUUAAUGGGUGUAGGGUUAGUUGGUAUAGUGCUGAGUUUUAAUGGGUGUAGGGUUAGUUGGUAUAGUGCUGAGGUUUUAAUGGGUGUAGAGUUAGUAUCUAUAGUGGUGAGUUUUAAUGGGUGUAGGGUUAGUAUCUAUAGUGGUGAGUUUUAAUGGGUGUAGAGUUAGUAUCUAUAGUGGUGAAUUUUAAUGGGUGUAGG